rnacentral:tRNA from 1 species
GGAGGGGUGGCCGAGCGGUUUAAGGCGACGGUCUUGAAAAUCGUUGCAGGCUCACAGUCUGCCGAGAGUUCGAAUCUCUCCCCCUCCGCCA